rnacentral:rRNA from 1 species
CUUCUUAGAGGGACCGGCGGCUUCGAGCCGCACGAGAUUGAGCAAUAACAGGUCUGUGAUGCCCUUAGAUGUCCUGGGCCGCACGCGCGCUACACUGAAGGAAUCAGCAUGUUCUCCCUGGCCUAGAGGCCCGGGCAACCCGCUGAAACUCCUUCGUGCUGGGGAUUGGGGUUUGCAAUUAUCCCCCAUAAACGAGGAAUUCCUAGUAAGCGCGAGUCAUAAGCUCGCGUUGAUUACGUCCCUGCCCUUUGUACACACCGCCCGUCGCUACUACCGAUUGAAUGAUUUAGUGAGGUCUUCGGACCGACACGCGGUGGCUUCGCGGCCGUCGGCGUUGCUGGGAAGUUGACCAAACUUGAUCAUUUAGAGGAAG